GAGCAGGGGGCGCCAUGGAGCAGUAGAGACGGGGUUUCGCCAUAUUGGCCAGGCUGGUCUCCACCUCCGGUGAUCCGCCUGCUUCUGCCUCCCAAAGUGCUGGGAUUACAGGCCUGAGGCACCGCGCCUGGCCUGAAGAAUCUUUUCAAAUGCAACAGGGAGAGGGAUAGUUGUAUCAGAAUGUUUUCAACUAAAACCACCACCUGGAGUGCCAAACUGCAACGGGGACCUAGACAGAUUCAGAUUGUGCCACUGGAGCCCUGGAAUUGGAUUGCUGGAUAGACUCACUGUGUUAAUUUAUUUAAUCUUGGAUCAAGAUCCACAGCAUGGAAGAAGACUGAACCAUCACUUAGAGGAGAGCUGCUUACCCCUCACUGGGUUGUGGCAUGAACAAUAAAUACACUUUUAAGAUACUGAAAUUUGGGAGUUUUAAUUUUCACUAGAGCAUAGCCUAGUCUAUGUAAGGAAUUUAAAGGGGAUUGCUGCUGUAACCCUAAAAUAUGUGUUAUUGGCUUAAUAGUUGAAUACUGGAGAGUGAGGAAACUGGUAUUCGGGGCUGCAGAGAUGGCAGAUCUAUGGUAUAGACUGGUAAAGUAUUUGGUAAAACUGCUUCCUGUAAUAUCUUGGGAGGUAGGCCAUGGCCCUACUGAGCCAGCAGCUCUGGGGGAAAUGAUUAUAAAGAGCCAAAAUGUUAUUGCAUGUUGGUUUCUAUUUGCUGCAUUUUGGGAAAGUAUUACAAGAAAGGGAUGAGGUUAGGAGAUAAUUGGCGGGUGUAACCAGAAAUAAAAGAAAUAAAGAGACUGUAAAAAUUUGGGGCAUUGAAAGGUUGGAAAAAUCCAACGGCUUCUAGGCUCCCAAAUGUAGGUAAUAAGACAGAGGCAAAGUCCUUGA
rnacentral:lncRNA from 1 species